UACUUGCAGCUGUUUCUAAAGAGAUCAUGGAUAAACUUUAAUUAAUUAUCAAUUGUAGAAAGAAUGUAUUUAAAACAAGCUAAGUGAAACUGAAGAAGGCUUAUAAAUUCCGAGUAGAUAUUUUCAAAGGCUCAAGGUCAACUAACUCAUGUAAGGAAGAUCAAAAUCAACAGAACCAAGAAUUAUGAAUUCAGACAAAUGAAAGAUAAAGAUGACAGUGGCGCUAGAAAUGCAGCAAACUCAGAAACAAACAAAACGUAAUUAAAUACUCUAAUUAUAAAUUAUAUAAGCACUCUUGGCUAUGUUUGUUUCUACAGUCCUAAUAAUAGUUAAUAUUCUCUCAAAAGAGGGCAGUGAGCUGACAGAAUGAUUAGCAUGCCAAGCAAAAUUCUUAGUGGCAUUUUGUCUCUCUCCACAUUCUGAGUUCAAAUUCCACCAAGGUUGACUUUGACUUUCAUCCUUUCGAGGUUGAUAAAAUAUGUACCAGCUGAGCACUGGGGUUAACAUAAUCAAGUAACUCCUUCUCCAAAGCUGCUGGCCUUGUGCUGAAAUUUGAAACCAAUAUUUUCUCAAAAGACUCAAAACAAAAUUUCAUUAUUUUUUUUUAAGAAAUCUACAACAACCAGAAACAAAUAAUUAGUAGGAAAAUUCUAAAUUUCAAUGCUUUUGUUUCUUAAAAAAGGAUUAAUAUGUACAUUGUAACAAUAAACACAAUAUAACAAUACAAGAGAUUUUCAUAUGAAACACUGUUCCACGUCAUUGUUCCAAAGAUCAAAUAAAGUCAGCAGUAAAAUGUUA